rnacentral:tRNA from 1 species
GGCGCUGUAGCCAAGUGGUAAGGCAGAGGACUGCAAAUCCUUUACGCUCCGGUUCAAAUCCGGACAGCGCCUCCA